rnacentral:lncRNA from 1 species
UGCAUUCUGCAAGCCACCCUGGGGUGCAGCUGAGCUAGACAUGGGACGGCGAGACGCCCAGCUCCUGGCAGCGCUCCUCGUCCUGGGGCUAUGUGCCCUGGCGGGGAGUGAGAAACCCUGACGAACUGCGGCUUCCCUGGAAUCACCAGUGACCAGUGUUUUGACAAUGGAUGCUGUUUCGACUCCAGUGUCACUGGGGUCCCCUGGUGUUUCCACCCCCUCCCAAAGCAAGAGUCGGAUCAGUGCGUCAUGGAGGUCUCAGACCGAAGAAACUGUGGCUACCCGGGCAUCAGCCCCGAGGAAUGCGCCUCUCGGAAGUGCUGCUUCUCCAACUUCAUCUUUGAAGUGCCCUGGUGCUUCUUCCCGAAGUCUGUGGAAGACUGCCAUUACUAAGAGAGGCUGGUUCCAGAGGAUGCAUCUGGCUCACCGGGUGUUCCGAAACCAAAGAAGAAACUUCGCCUUAUCAGCUUCAUACUUCAUGAAAUCCUGGGUUUUCUUAACCAUCUUUUCCUCAUUUUCAAUGGUUUAACAUAUAAUUUCUUUAAAUAAAAC